rnacentral:lncRNA from 1 species
GCCUUUGAAGAAAGAUGUUAUGAGUAUGAUAAAGCUGAGUACUAUAAAAAUAAUAAUAUUGAAGAGCAAAUUGAUAGUGAAUCAAAUCAGAAUCCACAAUGACAGAAGCGAAAAAGGAAAAGCUGUAAGAAGCCUGCUCACGGAAGUAAAGUGUAUGUAACACCCAAAAAUUUAAAACUUUUGAAAUAGGUGAAAAUGAUUUAAUUUUGUAUUUUUGUGUUCAUGAAAAAUAGAGAAAUAAUAUUUUUCAUCAAAAUAAAAUUUAUCAUAGGGUGUAGCAACACUUUUGUGCACUCAUGCUUCUACAUUUUUGUUUACUGUGCUGAGUGUUUUUGAACUAAAAAUUCAAAUGAUUUAAAAGGAAUUUUAAAUGAGUUUCAAAUCGCUUUGGAAUAAAAGAAAAAGGAAAAAAACAAACAAACCAAAACUCUCCCCAUCUGAUUCCGGCCCGAAGGCCCACUCCUCCUUUCCACCCCCUUCCGGCCUACUCCCGAACCAGCGUGCGCUGCCCAGCUUCCCUCCCCCUUUUUAUUUCUUCGCGUGGCCCAACGCCCAACUCCGAUCGCACCCCCGGCCCAAUGCCUCGCAGCGGCCCACUCGACCAUCCAAGCCGCGCAUCCCCUCUUCUUCCCCUCUGUCAACCGGGCUCCAUUCUUUAUUCUCUCUGACACUGUGACCCCACCUGUCAGCCGGUCUUCUUCAACCUCAAGUCGGAGCCGUGCAGGACUCCCGACCGGGAGCUAAAUACCGUUUCGCAUGGGAUUUUCUGCCAAAAUUCGCCAAAGCCGAGCCCUUUUAAGCCCCGUGAUCUCCUUCUCGACUCUCCUUUCCAAUCUAAGCGCUCGUGGAGCCACCCUAGCCCCGAAG